rnacentral:rRNA from 1 species
UGCCAGCAGCCGCGGUAAUACGGAGGGAGCGAGCGUUAAUCGGAAUUACUGGGCGUAAAGCGCGCGUAGGCGGCUUUGUAAGUCGGAUGUGAAAGGCCUGGGCUCAACCUGGGAACUGCAUGCGAUACUGGGCAUCUAGAGUAUGGUAGGGGGAAGUGGAAUUUCCGGAGUAGCGGUGAAAUGCGUAGAUAUCGGAAGGAACACCAGUGGCGAAGGCGACUUCCUGGGCCAAUACUGACACUGAGGUGCGAAAGCGUGGGGAGCAAACAGGAUUAGAUA